rnacentral:rRNA from 1 species
AUUGAACGCUGGCGGCAUGCUUUACACAUGCAAGUCGAACGGUAACAGGCCUUCGGGUGCUGACGAGUGGCGAACGGGUGAGUAAUGCAUCGGAACGUGCCCAGAGGUGGGGGAUAACGCAGCGAAAGCUGUGCUAAUACCGCAUGUGAUCUGAGGAUGAAAGCGGGGGACCAAGCAGCAAUGUUUGGCCUCGCGCCUCUGGAGCGGCCGAUGUCAGAUUAGGUAGUUGGUGGGGUAAAGGCCUACCAAGCCGACGAUCUGUAGCUGGUCUGAGAGGACGACCAGCCACACUGGGACUGAGACACGGCCCAGACUCCUACGGGAGGCAGCAGUGGGGAAUUUUGGACAAUGGGCGCAAGCCUGAUCCAGCAAUGCCGCGUGCGGAAAGAAGGCCUUCGGGUUGUAAACCGCUUUUGUACGGAACGAAAAGGCUCUGGCUAAUACCUGGGGCUGAUGACGGUACCGUAAGAAUAAGCACCGGCUAACUACGUG